AUGAACGCUGGCGACGUGGAUAAGGCAUGCAAGUCAAGGGGCCCUUCGGGGCACCGGCAGACGAGGUAGUAACACGUGGGUACUCACCCUUUAGUCAGGGAUAACUGCGGGAAACCGUAGCUAAUAUCUGAUAGUCCCUUCGGGGUAAAGAUUUAUCGCUAAAGGAGAGGCCUGCGGGGUAUCAGCUUGUUGGUAGUGUAAAAGACUACCAAGGCUAUGACGCCUAGGGGAGGUGAGAGCCUGACCCCCACCGAUGGCACUGAGACACGGGCCAUACACCUACGGGUGGCCGCAGUCGAGAAUCUUCCGCAAUGGGCGAAAGCCUGACGGAGCGACGUCGCGUGGUGGAUGGAGUCCUUCGGGAUGUAAACACCUUUUAUGAGGGAGGAAGUUUAUUGACGUUACCUCAUGAAUAAGGGGUUGCUAAACUCGUGCCAGCAGCAGCGGUAAUACGAGUGCCCCAAGCGUUAUCCGGAAUCACUGGGCGUAAAGGGUGCGCAGGCGGCCAUGUUAGUCUCUUGUUAAACCUUCGGGCUCAACCCGAAGCUCGCAAGGGAAACGGCAUGGCUAGAGGACAGGAGAGGUGUGCAGAACUCACGGUGUAGGGGUGAAAUCCGUUGAUAUCGUGGGGAAUACCAAAAGCGAAGGCAGCACACUGGCCUGUAUCUGACGCUCAUGCACGAAAGCGUGGGGAGCGAAAGGGAUUAGAUACCCCUGUAGUCCACGCCCUAAACGAUGUUCUCUGGCUCUUCGGAGUAUCGACCCUCUGGGGGGCGAAGCUAACGCGUUAAGAGAGCCGCCUGGGUAGUACGAGCGCAAGCUUAAAACUCAAAGGAAUAGACGGGGACUUGCACAAGCGGUGGAUCAUGUGGUUUAAUUCGACGCUAAGCGAAGCACCUCACCAGGGCUUGAAACCUAGUUGAAAAUCUCUAGAAACAGAGACCUUCUUCGGACAAUUAGGCAGGUGAUGCAUGGCCGUCGUCAGUUCGUGGUUUGAAUUGUUCCCUUAAGUGGGGUAACGAACGCAACCCUCAUUGCCAGUUACAAGUG
rnacentral:rRNA from 1 species